rnacentral:misc_RNA from 1 species
AAAUCGCGAAAUGUAUUGUGAAUUGCAGAAUUCAGUGAAUCAUCGAAUCUUUGAACGCACAUUGCACUCUUUGGUAUUCCGAAGAGUAUACAUGUUUGAGUAUCAAUAACCCCCUCUAUUAAAAUGAAGCAAUUCAUUGAAUAGGAUUUGAGUAUCCGUAUGACAUGUUGAUUCCUCUGUCAGAGCGGUUACUUUAAAUAAAUGAUGCGACCAGUACCACAUAGUGGAUUUGGCAACAUAGUAAUUGCGGAUUUCGAAAGAUUUCUAAUUUUAUUGUUUGUUAAUAUCAUUUAAGCUAAGUGUCUUGGUUUAUUGCAAAUACGAAUAUUUAAAGAAGAUUUCUUCUUUAACUAUUUUAUCUUGAUCUCAAAUCAUGUAGGACUACCCGCUGAACUUAA